GAGGAAUGAGUGGAGGCGGGGAAGAAGAGACGACAUUAGAGCACACUCCCACAUGGGUUGUUGCUCUCGUUUGCACUGUCAUCGUCGCCGUUUCAUUCGCCGCCGAGCGUUUUCUUCAUUGUGGCGGAAAGUUCCUCAGGAAGAGAGAUCAGAAGCCACUCUAUGAAGCUCUUCGGAAAAUCAAAGAAGGCUCUGUGCCUCUCUCUCUACUUUUUUCUGUUCUUAAUAUUAAAAUAUAGUAUCUGUUUUGUUACUCUAUCUUUCCCCUCUCCUCCAUGAGUGGAUGUGCAGAGUUUUUGAAAAAUUUUGGAAGGUAUUUUAUUUAUUUAUGUAUUGCUGUGUUCGUUUUUCAGAGUUGAUGCUGUUGGGUUUUAUAUCGCUGCUUCUGACGGUUACACAGAAUGGGAUUACCGAAAUCAACGUGCCGGCUGGUUUGACCCGCCACAUGCUUCCUUGUAACCCGGAUAGAGGAGAAGGCGAAGAAUGUAACAUUACACAUUCCUCAGUUCUCAUUGAACAAGGUUCCGUUAUUAUCUGUGGAAGCCAUUCACCACCUGCGUAUCUUUAUAUUUGUUCUAGCUUUAGUCCACGUAACCUAUUGUGUUCUGGCUGUUUUCUUCGGAGGAUUGAAAAUACGUCAGUGGAAGCACUGGGAGGAUUCAGUUGCUAAAGACAACUACGAAGCACAGAAAGAUCACUCAUGUUCACCAGCAUGAUUUUAUUAAGGGUCGUUUUCUGGGUUUCGGUAAAGACUCUGCCCUGAUGGGUUGGUUGGUAAGUUUUUCAUAAGCUAAUCAGGAUCUGAAACCUAGAAUUGAUGAUGACAUAUUCAUAUCACUCAUGCUAAAACUACUCCUGAACCCCUUAUUUGAAGAUUUAGGCAUGUUCUAUAUAGUGCAUGCUGACACAUAAUCUAUGUUUCUUCAGUAUUUUCUUGCUUUUCCUUGUCCAAUAAAGCUUAAUGUUGAGCCAUUUCUGCUGAGUCUUUGUCCUUCUUGUGUCCACCUUAGUUGAUAUCACAAGGGACCAUGACCUUCUAAAGGAGUGG